rnacentral:lncRNA from 1 species
GUCUUCUUUGGUCUACUGGGAGACAGGACAUAAUUACACACUUCAUGUAGAGCUCUCAUCAUACAGAUCGUUGGAAAGUAGCAUCCCGACAGUUCUGAGAGAAAAAAAGGGAGUAUGCAUAAACACACACACAUACACACACACACACGCACAGUUUCUUUUUUGCCAUUAUUA